AUUGAACGCUGGCGGCAUGCCUUACACAUGCAAGUCGAACGGCAGCACGGGAGCAAUCCUGGUGGCGAGUGGCGAACGGGUGAGUAAAGUAUCGGAACGUGCCCAGUCGUGGGGGAUAACGUAGCGAAAGUUACGCUAAUACCGCAUACGAUCUAUGGAUGAAAGCGGGGGAUCGCAAGACCUCGCGCGAUUGGAGCGGCCGAGAGCAGAUUAGGUAGUUGGUGGGGGAAAGGCUCACCAAGCCGACGAUCUGUAGCUGGUCUGAGAGGACGACCAGCCACACUGGGACUGAGACACGGCCCAGACUCCUACGGGAGGCAGCAGUGGGGAAUUUUGGACAAUGGGCGAAAGCCUGAUCCUGCCAUGCCGCGUGCAGGAUGAAGGCCUUCGGGUUGUAAACUGCUUUUGUACGGAACGAAAAGGUUUGGCCUAAUAAGCUGAGCUCAUGACGGUACCGUAAGAAUAAGCACCGGCUAACUACGUGCCAGCCGCCGCAGUAA
rnacentral:rRNA from 1 species